ACCUUAGAGACCAACUAAGUUUGUUCUGGGUAUAAGCUUUCGUGUGCAUCCACACUUCCUCAGAUACCAAGAGGUGUGCAUGCACACAAAAGCUUAUACCCAGAACAAACUUAGUUGGUCUCUAAGGU